rnacentral:lncRNA from 1 species
GCGGAGAUGGGUGGGGUGAGAUCGAGGGGAGGACCCAGGAGGCGGCGGCGCAUAGGAGGGGCGCUGCAGCCAAGCCACCAGCCUAGCUGUAGAGUGCUGUACUCCACAUACUCCUGGAGAUCCAGCCCCGCAGAUCGCGCAUCCCUGCCGCCGUUCGCCUUUAGGCAUCCUAAACUUGAGCGGCAGCUCGGUUUCAACCGAUCGACUGCUUGCUUCAAAUCAGACAGCAUUGCGACCCAGACACCGGAGUCCGCCGAGUGAAAGCACAACGCAGAGUAGGACAAGACCAAGAAAACAGCCACGCGAAGCAGCAACUCUAGGUUGGGAGUGCAGAAGCCAACAAGUGAGAAGGCGCCGCGUUUCCGGGGCGCAGCUAGAAUGCUAGAGCAGGCGCCAGAGAAGACAGCUAGAGUCGGAAUCAGAGCCCAAACCUCUCUCCUGGAGGCGGCUCAGCUUCUUUCUUUUCUAGACCUUCUUCGGUUGCGCUGGGCUUCCUUUUAUCCGGGUAGGAGCCACAUCCCUGGGGAAUAUGCAGCGCGCGUGGAUCCUGCUCACCUUGGGCUUGAUGGCCUGUGUGUCCUCAGAGACGGAUUAUUUCAGUGCCCAUUCUGCACAGAAUUUUAGCUAUUUGUUGAGGGAACACCAGUUGCUACUAGCAAAGAAGGAGAAUGUUCACAGAAGAGGAAUGAGUGGAAAGAAGGUUUGAUACCACUGGGUAAAAUGAUUGUGAGAAAAGAAAUUUCAUAUAUGGGGAACAACACACACAACCUGGAAGCAUGACAGAAACUUGCCUUAUUUGGAAAAUUUAUAGGGAAUUUGCACUGUGGUACCAAGGAAUGGUGAAAGAUGCAGGAAAUGAAAAGCAAGAAGUGGGCAAUUUAUAAGUCUUAAAGUUCUAAGGAGACCAUGCUGUUGUCUGCCACACCCACUCCAGUGAAUUCUGUGUGUGAAGCUUGGCCACAGUCCUGAGGCAAAAAGUUUCACAGAAACUUGUCUGCUGGAGAGUCUCUGGUGCCCCAUAACCAGAUUUGUCCCUAAGAUAGGGUGGAGGGUCUUUCAUGCUUUCUUAGAGUAUUUUACUAGAUAAGAGCUAAAAAAUCUCAGGGCAAGUUCUACAAAGAAAACUUAGAAUUACAGCCGAGGCACUCCCAUAUGCAGGAAUUUACAAUGGCCUAAGAAGAAGGAGGGUUGUGGCUUAAGGAGGAACUACAGUAUUACAUUAUUCAUGAGCAAGAGCAGAACCCCCUGGUGCAAGCUUUCAAAAGGCUCAGAGGAAUAGCAUAAAUUGUGACUAGAGUGUGAAAUCCUCACCUGGCUCCCUAAUGGCUAACUUUAGAAAGGGCUGCCUUUUAUCUCAGUUGUAACCACUGCCUGGUUCCUGCUAGUAUUUAUGUAUGCAUUUCUCUGUUUUUUGCAAGAUAAUAUCAAUGUACCUUGGCUGAUGUGUCACCUAACUUCUUUGUUUUCUUCUGUAAUAUAAGUCUGAUGCUCACUUUGAGAAAUUACAUUCAGAUAGUGUACUCUCUGUGUGUCAGUGUCUGUUUGUCACUUUUCGCCAA